GAGCUGAUCUGAGCUGCUGCUAAGGACCGAAACGCGCCUCAAGCUGUCACUUGCCGCCUGGAGUUCGUUGGGAAAGUUGAAAAAGCCUAGUCCUGUUUAGGAAAUCUAUCCAGCUGUGUAUAUACUUUUUGCUUUUAGGGUAUGAAGCUCAGGAAGGAUAAGAAAAACAAGAUCACACAGCUGGCAAGUGGCAAAGCAGGACACAAUUUAUAACUCCAGAACGAGAAUUUGCAGUUGUUGCGCCAGAUGCCCUGUAGCGGGGCUGCCACCAAGAAGGUGGAAGAACACCUUUAAUUCCAGCACUCAGGACACAGAAACAGGUGGGUGGAUAUCAGUUCCAGGCCCUCCUGGUCUACUUAAUGAGUUCUGGGAUGGCCAGAACUACAUCAUGAGACCUGUCUCAGAAAAAAAGAAAGAAAAAGAAAAUGCUCACAGGUACACCCAGCUGCUUGGCUUUGAAUUGAUUUCAGAUACAGUCAAGUUGACAUCAAGACUAUCCACCAACCAAUCUUUAAUUUAUUCAUUCAAUGGAUAUUUUUAAGUCUAUGUCUGGCAUUAAGUUAAGUGCUAGAGAACCCGGGAAAAACCAAAAACCAAAAAACAACAACAAUAACAAAACAGGACAGCCAUGUUUUCUGCCUUCAUGAACUUUCUGGAAGGAGAGAAACAGCAUUUAACAGCGUGGAAAGCUGCUUUGUGAAGACAAGUCCUAAGAAUGCCAUCUACAGAGGACUGGGGUGGUGAGAACAUAUGCUAAGUGGUCUUGAUCUCCACUACUGUUGAAAGAAGAGGCUCUGAGGAAAGAGACAUUAGAUAAAGACCCACAGGGGUCCUAGAAAGACUCCAGGUGCUUGACUCCAGUUGUUUGGGGAUUUUUGAGAUGAGAUCAGACUCAGGCUGGCACUGAACUUCUGAUCCUCCUGCCUCAGCUUCUCAGGACCUCUCUGCAUAGCCAUGACUAUUCCUGGAACUCACUAUGUAAACCAGAGAUCUGCUUGCCACUGCCUCCCUAGUGCUGGGAUUAAAGUGGCUCGUCUGGGUUCAGGAAAGUAUAGCUCCAGUUUAGUGUUCUUAUGGAUCAUCGACUGUACCCAAGACCAGAAACGGAAACAACUAGAUCAUCUUCAACUGAACAACGGAGACAGAAACGUGAUACAGGUACACAAUGGACUACUUUUCAGCUAUGAAAAAUAAAGACAUCAUGAAUUUUAUAGGGAAAUGGAUGAAUCUUAAGAAUACCAUCCUGACCUAGGAGUCUAUCAUGGAUGUCCUCUGAGAGGCUCCAUCCAGCAGCUGACUCCUGAGAAAGAUGCAGGCACCCACAACCAAACAGUGCAUCAAGCUUGGGGAAUCUUAUGGAAGAAUGGCAGAAAAGAUGCAGUUCCUAAGGAGAUAGGAACUCCACAGGAAGACCAGCAAAGUCAACGAACCAGGACCCUUGGGGAUCUCAGAGAUCAAACCACUAUUUAUAUUAAAACAUUUUAGAAUUUAACAAAUGUUAAUUGUUCUUUAACCAUUUGUAGCUGGUAGUACUAAGAACAGGAAAAAAUGAAAUAUAAUAUUUUCUUUUCACAUAUUUUUAUGAAUGUUAGCACAUGGUUUGUCUAAGGUGAUUUUAGGUUUGAAAUAAUCAACUAAAUGGAGAAAAAUGAAAAAAGGGAAAGUAUAAGUUUUAUUAGGCACUAGGUAAAUGAAAUUAAUGAACCAGAAGAAAAGUCAAAAGUGCACUGUACAAUGGAAAGGACAUCCCCGGAGAUGGACGAGAGGCUGAGCUAACAAUUCAUGAACUGCUACUCACACUUUUACAUAUUGCAUAUGAAUGAUGAACAAUACAGAAAUGGUUGUACUGGACUUGGGCGAUUAAUUUUCCAAUAGAGUUCAGCAACCGCCCUACCCCCCCCCCAAAAAAAAGCCAAAUUAAAAAUGGAAAGCAAAGGGGCUGGAGAGAUGGCUCAGCGGUUAAGAACGCUGACUGCUCUUCCAGAGGUCCCGAGUUCAAUUCCCAGCAUACACAUGGUGGCUCACAGCCAUCUGUAAUGGGAUCCAACGCCCUCUUCUGGUGUGUCUGAAGAGAGUGACAGUGUGCUCAUAUAAAAUAAAUAAAUAAAACUUUUUUGAAAAACUGGAAAGC
ensembl:processed_transcript 9230114K14Rik RIKEN cDNA 9230114K14 gene